CCGGAAGUGCUUUUCUAAGGUUCGGGCCGGAGAGAGGCCUGGUAGGCACAGCCGCAGAGGCUCCUUCGGCUCCGUGGACUCGGAGCAGGGGCUCCAACCCGGGUCAGAGUUUGGAGGUCCACGGCCACCCACCCGCGCCCCGUGACCUCCCUGCGCCCGGGCGGACGGUGAGUGGACGGGGAAACGGACUGGGCCGGCCUCAGGCCUGGGUUGGGGCUGGCGCUCUCGGGCCCCGGCCGUCCGCUCCGGGCUCCGGGCAGCAGGCAGCGGACUCAGCUGUCGGAGUCUGGGGAAGGGGGUUGUUGACCGCCGCGGU
rnacentral:lncRNA from 1 species